AUUGAACGCUAGCGGGAUGCUUUACACAUGCAAGUCGAACGAGUGGCGGACGGGUGAGUAAUAUAUCAGAACGUGCCCAGUAGCGGGGGAUAACUACUAGAAAGAGUGGCUAAUACCGCAUACUCUUGGAGCGGCCGAUAUCGGAUUAGCUAGUUGGUGGGGUAAUGGCUCACAAAGGCAACGAUCCGUAGCUGGUUUGAGAGGACGACCAGCCACACUGUGAUGUGGACACGGCCCAGACUCCUACGUUAGGCAGCAGUGGGUAAUUUUGUACAAUGGGGGAAACCCUGAUCCAGCCAUCCCGCGUGUGUGAGAAGGCCUUCGGGUUGUAAAGUACUUUUGGCAGAGAAGCGGUAUCUGCAGAAUAAGCACCGGCUAACUACGUGCCAGCAGCCGCGGUAAUAC
rnacentral:rRNA from 1 species